rnacentral:misc_RNA from 1 species
GAUGAAGAACGUAGCGAAAUGCGAUAAGUAAUGUGAAUUGCAGAAUUCAGUGAAUCAUCGAAUCUUUGAACGCACAUUGCGCCCGUCAGUAUUCUGGCGGGCAUGCCUGUUCGAGCGUCAUUACGCCCCUCAAGUCCCCUGUGGACUUGGUGUUGGGGAUCGGCGAGGCUGGUUUUCCAGCACAGCCGUCCCUUAAAUUAAUUGGCGGUCUCGCCGUGGCCCUCCUCUGCGCAGUAGUAAAACACUCGCAACAGGAGCCCGGCGCGGUCCACUGCCGUAAAACCCCCCAACUUUUUAUAGUUGACCUCGAAUCAGGUAGGACUACCCGCUGAACUUAAGCAUAGCAAUAAGCGGAGGA